GCUUUCUCAGGGUCGCUUCUGAAGAGUUUCCAGAACACUAUCAGUCUCAGUUAUGGGAAGGAGUGUCAAACAGAAGCAUACCCAUUCCAUUCCUAGCUUGGGCAGUGGCUAGUGAGUGGAAGGCAAUCUGCUACAGGU